UACGGAGGGGGCUAGCGUUGUUCGGAAUUACUGGGCGUAAAGCGCACGUAGGCGGCUGUUCAAGUCAGAGGUGAAAGCCUGGAGCUCAACUCCAGAACUGCCUUUGAAACUAGACAGCUUGAAUCAUGGAGAGGUGAGUGGAAUUCCGAGUGUAGAGGUGAAAUUCGUAGAUAUUCGGAAGAACACCAGUGGCGAAGGCGGCUCACUGGACAUGUAUUGACGCUGAGGUGCGAAAGCGCGGGGAGCAAACAGG
rnacentral:rRNA from 1 species